AUGGUGGAGGCCUGGCGCAGCGAAGUGGUGUCGAAGCCGAGGUUCGCCGGAGCCCAUGAGCCUGGGCGGCGGCUGGGACGGCGGUCGAGGGCCGCGACGGCGCGUCCGAAGAGGCGGCCGAAGCGCUGCUCCGUGCAAAUGCUCGGGCCCGCAGUAGCCUCCAGUGGUGGUGGAGAGUUAACGCCGGCACCUUCCAUCCCUGCUCCAAGGCAGAUGACGCCGGAGGCGCCAGUGGGCGCUGACACGAAGCCAAGCGCGGCCUCUUCGUCCACAAUGGCGCGCAUCGGGACGGGCGCGUAUCCAGGAGGGCCACGGCUCGGGCCAACAGCCUCGCCGACGGGCGUCGGCGUCGCGGGCGGGAGCCACGCGGCCGGUGGAGGAGGAGGUGGAGGUGGAGAUCCGGGGGGCGAUCCAGGCACAUCGGCGGCCCCGUUGAUCAUCGGGGCGCUCGGGCCGGCCACCAUCCGAGGGUCGAGCCCCGUGUGCUCAUGGCCAUGGGCGCGGGGAGCACCGCAGUGGGCGCGUCCUGUGGCGCGGCGACCCUGUCCCGGGGCGUGGUGA
rnacentral:rRNA from 1 species